CCUACGGGUGGCAGCAGUGAGGAAUAUUGGUCAAUGGGCGCGAGCCUGAACCAGCCAAGUCGCGUGAGGGAGGACGGCCCUACGGGUUGUAAACCUCUUUUGCCGGGGAGCAACGGGCGUCACGUGUGGCGCCACUGAGAGUACCCGGAGAAUAAGCCACGGCUAACUACGUGCCAGCAGCCGCGGUAAUACGUAGGUGGCAAGCGUUAUCCGGAUUUACUGGGUGUAAAGGGCGUGUAGGCGGGAGAGCAAGUCAGACGUGAAAUUCCAGGGCUCAACCCUGGAACUGCGUUUGAAACUGUUCUUCUUGAGUGAUGGAGAGGCAGGCGGAAUUCCGUGUGUAGCGGUGAAAUGCGUAGAUAUACGGAGGAACACCAGUGGCGAAGGCGGCCUGCUGGACAUUAACUGACGCUGAGGCGCGAAAGCGUGGGGAGCAAACAGGAUUAGAUACCCCGGUAGUC
rnacentral:rRNA from 1 species